rnacentral:lncRNA from 1 species
GAAACUAACAUGCUCUUUUCUUAGUUCCAGAACUCUGCAUUCCACAUUCUCUGUUAUAUCUAAGCAACAGUCUGUGCUAUUUCUUAGCAGAGAAAAACAAUGUAUCAGGUACUGAAGAUGUGAAUGGACAUGAAACAGAAAGUCGAGCUCCUUAAAGCCUCAUAGUUUGUCUUCAUCCACCUUAUUUGGUGGAUCUGGCACCGGGCACCAUUUGAAUCUUCUCAAAGUCAAAGUGAAUUAAAGGAAAUGUUUGAAUCAAUUGAGAACACUGAAGGACUUCAGACAGUGCAACUAAGAACACUGAAGAAAGAAAACAUUCAAAACUGCUUCAGAAAGAGCCAAGUAAGUCUUUGAAAAUCUGAGAGAAGAAUUUAACCCUCGAAAAUCAUCUUUUGACGACAUCAUUGUGUGAGGUUAGUCAGUGUUCCAGAAAGAGUCCUCACGACAUCCUUUUGAGACAUCUCAGUCCUGCUCUUCAUGUGCUUUUUGCUGUUUGGGGGGAUUGAAGACCA